UACGGGGGGAGCAAGCGUUGUUCGGAUUUACUGGGCGUAAAGGGCGCGUAGGCGGCCUCCGCAAGUCAGUUGUGAAAUCUCCGAGCUUAACUCGGAAAGGUCAACUGAUACUGCGGGGCUAGAGUGCGGAAGGGGCAACUGGAAUUCUUGGUGUAGCGGUGAGAUGCGUAGAUAUCAAGAGGAACACCUGCGGCGAAGGCGGGUUGCUGGGCCGACACUGACGCUGAGGCGCGAAAGCUAGGGGAGCGAACGGG
rnacentral:rRNA from 1 species